CUUGUACACACCGCCCGUCACACCAUGGGAGCGGGUUCUGCCAGAAGUAGUUAGCCUAACCGCAAGGAGGGCGAUUACCACGGUGCGUUUCGUGACUGGGGUG
rnacentral:rRNA from 1 species